CCAGCUGCCACUGACUUGGUGUCACUCUAGGAGUCGCUCCUGGCAAAUACAAUUGGCUUAAGUCUAUCCUCACUACCAGAGGCUCUAGUGAAUACCAGGUGUUGCUUAGUCACGCCCCUCUAGAGAGUAGCGAGUCAGUGGCAAAAGUGGGUUUACACCCUCUGGUUCGUUACACUCCCUACUUCUACAUCUCUAUAAAAGAGUGAGUCCUUCACCUGGAUGGCUCAUACUUCCAGUGCUCAGCAGAUAUGGCUCCGGUGACCGUCUCUCUCAUUCUUCUAAUUUUGUGCUGUGCAGGGGCCUUAGCAGACAACCAUGGCAAACCACCACCACUACAAGGUCUGGCGAAAAUCUCGCUCUGGACGCGAUGACAUGCACAGGAUUUUGGCUGAGAUCUUCAAUCAAGAUGACGGUGCCCGGCCCAUAGCGAGCAAGUGGAUCAGAAAAGCCCGGAAC